UCGGACAUAGUGUAAGGGUUAACACCGCCGUCUUUCAUCGAGAGUGUAGAUAAUUCGAAAAAAAUGAAACCGGCAGAUCGAGGUUCGAGUCCUCGUGUCCGGA